rnacentral:rRNA from 1 species
UUAAGCGACUAAGCGUACACGGUGGAUGCCCUGGCAGUCAGAGGCGAUGAAGGACGUGCUAAUCUGCGAAAAGCGUCGGUAAGGUGAUAUGAACCGUUACAGCCGGCGAUGUCCGAAUGGGGAAACCCAGUGCAAUUCGUUGCACUAUCGUUAACUGAAUACAUAGGUUAACGAGGCGAACCGGGGGAACUGAAACAUCUAAGUACCCCGAGGAAAAGAAAUCAACCGAGAUUCCCCCAGUAGCGGCGAGCGAACGGGGAGCAGCCCAGAGUCUGAAUCAGCUUGUGUGUUAGUGGAACGGUCUGGAAAGUCCGACGGUACAGGGUGAUAGUCCCGUACACCAAAAUGCACAGGCUGUGAACUCGAAGAGUAGGGCGGGACACGUGGUAUCCUGUCUGAAUAUGGGGGGACCAUCCUCCAAGGCUAAAUACUCCUGACUGACCGAUAGUGAACCAGUACCGUGAGGGAAAGGCGAAAAGAACCCCGGCGAGGGGAGUGAAAAAGAACCUGAAACCGUGUACGUACAAGCAGUGGGAGCACCUUCGGGUGUGACUGCGUACCUUUUGUAUAAUGGGUCAGCGACUUAUAUUCUGUAGCAAGGUUAACCGUAUAGGGGAGCCGCAGGGAAACCGAGUCUUAACUGGGCGUUAAGUUGCAGGGUAUAGACCCGAAACCCGGUGAUCUAGCCAUGGGCAGGUUGAAGGUUGGGUAACACUAACUGGAGGACCGAACCGACUAAUGUUGAAAAAUUAGCGGAUGACUUGUGGCUGGGGGUGAAAGGCCAAUCAAACCGGGAGAUAGCUGGUUCUCCCCGAAAGCUAUUUAGGUAGCGCCUCGUGAAUUCAUCUUCGGGGGUAGAGCACUGUUUCGGCUAGGGGGUCAUCCCGACUUACCAACCCGAUGCAAACUACGAAUACCGAAGAAUGUUAUCACGGGAGACACACGGCGGGUGCUAACGUCCGUCGUGAAGAGGGAAACAACCCAGACCGCCAGCUAAGGUCCCAAAGUCAUGGUUAAGUGGGAAACGAUGUGGGAAGGCACAGACAGCCAGGAUGUUGGCUUAGAAGCAGCCAUCAUUUAAAGAAAGCGUAAUAGCUCACUGGUCGAGUCGGCCUGCGCGGAAGAUGUAACGGGGCUAAACCAUGCACCGAAGCUGCGGCAGCGACACGAUGUGUUGUUGGGUAGGGGAGCGUUCUGUAAGCCUGCGAAGGUGGCCUGUGAGGGUUGCUGGAGGUAUCAGAAGUGCGAAUGCUGACAUAAGUAACGAUAAAGCGGGUGAAAAGCCCGCUCGCCGGAAGACCAAGGGUUCCUGUCCAACGUUAAUCGGGGCAGGGUGAGUCGACCCCUAAGGCGAGGCCGAAAGGCGUAGUCGAUGGGAAACAGGUUAAUAUUCCUGUACUUGGUGUUACUGCGAAGGGGGGACGGAGAAGGCUAUGUUAGCCGGGCGACGGUUGUCCCGGUUUAAGCAUGUAGGCUGGUUAUCCAGGCAAAUCCGGAUAAUCAAGGCUGAGGUGUGAUGACGAGGCACUACGGUGCUGAAGUAACAAAUGCCCUGCUUCCAGGAAAAGCCUCUAAGCAUCAGGUAACAUCAAAUCGUACCCCAAACCGACACAGGUGGUCAGGUAGAGAAUACCAAGGCGCUUGAGAGAACUCGGGUGAAGGAACUAGGCAAAAUGGUGCCGUAACUUCGGGAGAAGGCACGCUGGUGUGUAGGUGAAGUCCCUGCGGAUGGAGCUGAGACCAGUCGAAGAUACCAGCUGGCUGCAACUGUUUAUUAAAAACACAGCACUGUGCAAACACGAAAGUGGACGUAUACGGUGUGACGCCUGCCCGGUGCCGGAAGGUUAAUUGAUGGGGUUAUCCGUAAGGAGAAGCUCUUGAUCGAAGCCCCGGUAAACGGCGGCCGUAACUAUAACGGUCCUAAGGUAGCGAAAUUCCUUGUCGGGUAAGUUCCGACCUGCACGAAUGGCGUAAUGAUGGCCAGGCUGUCUCCACCCGAGACUCAGUGAAAUUGAACUCGCUGUGAAGAUGCAGUGUACCCGCGGCAAGACGGAAAGACCCCGUGAACCUUUACUAUAGCUUGACACUGAACAUUGAGCCUUGAUGUGUAGGAUAGGUGGGAGGCUUUGAAGCGUGGACGCCAGUCUGCGUGGAGCCAACCUUGAAAUACCACCCUUUAAUGUUUGAUGUUCUAACGUUGGCCCCUUACCGGGGUUGCGGACAGUGUCUGGUGGGUAGUUUGACUGGGGCGGUCUCCUCCCAAAGCGUAACGGAGGAGCACGAAGGUUAGCUAAUCCUGGUCGGACAUCAGGAGGUUAGUGCAAUGGCAUAAGCUAGCUUGACUGCGAGCGUGACGGCGCGAGCAGGUGCGAAAGCAGGUCAUAGUGAUCCGGUGGUUCUGAAUGGAAGGGCCAUCGCUCAACGGAUAAAAGGUACUCCGGGGAUAACAGGCUGAUACCGCCCAAGAGUUCAUAUCGACGGCGGUGUUUGGCACCUCGAUGUCGGCUCAUCACAUCCUGGGGCUGAAGUAGGUCCCAAGGGUAUGGCUGUUCGCCAUUUAAAGUGGUACGCGAGCUGGGUUUAGAACGUCGUGAGACAGUUCGGUCCCUAUCUGCCGUGGGCGCUGGAGAAUUGAGGGGGGCUGCUCCUAGUACGAGAGGACCGGAGUGGACGCAUCACUGGUGUUCGGGUUGUCAUGCCAAUGGCACUGCCCGGUAGCUAAAUGCGGAAGAGAUAAGUGCUGAAAGCAUCUAAGCACGAAACUUGCCCCGAGAUGAGUUCUCCCUGAGACUUUAAGUCUCCUGAAGGAACGUUGAAGACGACGACGUUGAUAGGCCGGGUGUGUAAGCGCAGCGAUGCGUUGAGCUAACCGGUACUAAUGAACCGUGAGGCUUAACCUU